rnacentral:rRNA from 1 species
GGCGAACGCUGGCGGCGUGCUUAACACAUGCCAGUCGAACGGUGAAGCGCCUUCCUUUUUGGUGGGUGUGGAUGAGUGGCGAACGGGUGAGUAACACGUGAGUAACCUGCCCCCUUCUUCUGGAUAACCGCAUGAAAGUGUGGCUAAUACGGGAUAUUCUGGGUCUGUCGCAUGAUGGGUCUGGGAAAGAUAUUGUUUCGGUGGGGGAUGGGCUCGCGGCCUAUCAGCUUGUUGGUGGGGUGAUGGCCUACCAAGGCGGUGACGGGUAGCCGGCCUGAGAGGGUGGACGGUCACACUGGGACUGAGACACGGCCCAGACUCCUACGGGAGGCAGCAGUGGGGAAUAUUGCACAAUGGGCGCAAGCCUGAUGCAGCGACGCCGCGUGAGGGAUGGAGGCCUUCGGGUUGUGAACCUCUUUCGCCAGUGAAGCAGGCCUGCCUCGUUUGUGGGUGGGUUGACGGUAGCUGGAUAAGAAGCGCCGGCUAACUACGUG